CAAUAUGACCUGAUUCCUGCAUCCAUCCAGGUCUGUGUGAGUUCCACCAUUGCUGCAGGAAAACCCAGGGCAGACUUCUUUGAAAAACUGGAGUUUGCACUCAUAAACACUUCAAGACAUCCCUGGGGGAAAGACAUUAAAGCAAAGAAAUCAUCCUCAGGAUGCUCAGACUUAUAAAAAGAUUGAAAACAGCAGGAGUGAUUGGAAUGAAAGCCAAGAAGACCCCAAGGCUAUAUCUCCUCCACGAGGUUCAACAGCAUCACAGUCAUUUUGGC